rnacentral:rRNA from 1 species
UUUGAUCAUGGCUCAGGACGAACGCUGGCGGCGUGCUUAACACAUGCAAGUCGAACGGGAGUAUUGAAGAAGCUUGCUUUAGAGAUACUUUAGUGGCGGACGGGUGAGUAACGCGUGAGGAGCUGUCCUAUGCAGGGGGACAACAGCUGGAAACGGCUGCUAAUACCCCAUAAGCCGAGAGGUAAAAGGAUCAAUCCGGCAGAGGAGGUACUCGCGUCCUAUCAGCUAGUAGGUGAGGUAACGGCUCACCUAGGCGAAGACGGGUAGCCGGCCUGAGAGGGCGAACGGCCACACUGGAACUGAGAUACGGUCCAGACUCCUACGGGAGGCAGCAGUGGGGAAUAUUGGGCAAUGGGGGAAACCCUGACCCAGCGACGCCGCGUGGGUGAAGAAAUCCUUCGGGAUGUAAAGCCCUGUUGUAUGGGAAGAGCGGAAGACGGUACCAUACGAGGAAGCCCCGGCAAACUACGUGCCAGCAGCCGCGGU